GGCAUGACGGGACACGGCCCGCGCAAAGGGACCGGGCCGAGCAGGAGGUGCGAGCUCACCGCGCAGGGAAGGAGCCGGUACGGGACAGCUGCACUCGGAAUGGAAACGAACCGAUCUGGGACAGCUGCACUCGGAAUGGAAACGAACCGAUCUGCGACAGCUGCACUCGGAAUGGAAACGAACCGAUCUGCGACAGCUGCACUCGGAAUGGAAACGAACCGAUCUGCGACAGCUGCACUCCGGCUGUGCUCACCGGAGAAGAACUGUUUCACCGGGGUGCUCCCCUGCUCCUGCAGACACUACGUGGGACAGGCAGGAACCAUCCCAGCUUCAGAGGCAGCACUCCGGGGGCUCUUUAGGGAUUCGCUGGCUAAUUACUGCAGGGAACAGGGAUAUAUCUCCCGGACGCCGGCAGGUUCGGAGGGAGGUGCCCCGGGAUGCCCUCGCUGCUUUCCCGUCCUGCGGGAAAAUCCCACAGCGCUCGCGGAUCGCGUCCGACCCCACGAUCCCAAAUCUCUUGAGUCCCCCGUUACAAUCUGUUCUUUAACCGCUUUGAUCAGGGGAGAGCGCGAACGCAGUCCCCCACUACCACAAAUUAUGCAGUCGAGUUUCCCGCAUUUGGGGAAAUCGCAGGGGUCAGCACACCCGGAGUGCAAGGGAUGAGCCUCGCCCUGGGAAAACCACCUGCCUGAUCAUGGUGUCUC